rnacentral:rRNA from 1 species
AUUGAACGCUGGCGGCAUGCUUUACACAUGCAAGUCGAACGGUAACAGGCCUUCGGGUGCUGACGAGUGGCGAACGGGUGAGUAAUGCAUCGGAACGUGCCCAAUCGUGGGGGAUAACGUAGCGAAAGUUACGCUAAUACCGCAUAAGCCCUGAGGGGGGAAAGUGGGGGACCGCAAGGCCUCACGCGAAUGGAGCGGCCGAUGUCAGAUUAGCUAGUUGGUGGGGUAAAGGCCCACCAAGGCGACGAUCUGUAGCGGGUCUGAGAGGAUGAUCCGCCACACUGGGACUGAGACACGGCCCAGACUCCUACGGGAGGCAGCAGUGGGGAAUUUUGGACAAUGGGCGCAAGCCUGAUCCAGCCAUGCCGCGUGCGGGACGAAGGCCUC